rnacentral:rRNA from 1 species
GACAGAGGAUGCAAGCGUUAUCCGGAAUGAUUGGGCGUAAAGCGUCUGUAGGUGGCUUUUUAAGUCUGCCGUCAAAUCCCAGGGCUUAACCCUGGACAGGCGGUGGAAACUACCAAGCUGGAGUACGGUAGGGGCAGAGGGAAUUUCCGGUGGAGCGGUGGAAUGCGUAGAUAUCGGAAGGAACGCCGGUGGCGAAAGCGCUCGACUGGACCUCUUCUGACGCUGAGGCGCGAAAGCCAGGGGAGCAAACGGGG